UAGCUGAAUUUGCGUAUCUUAAAUCGACCCCCCCCUGUAGUGUAGAUGUAGCCGAGAGGAGUACCGCAGCGUCGACGGGGGAGCCUGCCUGCCGCGUGUGGACUGAGGACAUAUUGUAUGCUGUAGUAAAUCACCCUCAUCAUUUUCCAAUUGCUCACUGCAGUUCAGACCUGAAAACUUCACCACAGGAGCAAAUUAGAAGCUGGGGAGAUAAAGCUCAUCACCAUCAAGAAUCUGUGAUCUCUCUAGUUGUUCUUCUGUGCACCUGGGAUUUUGAGCACUGAAAAGCUUCAGGGAUCAGGUCCCAGUGAAAAAUUGCUGCACGACACACAACUAUACUCCAUUGGAAUCAAUGAUGAUACAGGUUUGUUCCAGUUUUGACACAAGUACAAUAUAACAAUUCUGCCUUAGCAAUGGAGCAGAAGCAAGUCACUCCAACCCAGAGCAGCCAUUAAGGAAAAAUAUUGUGCCACUUUAUAUUGAGGAUCCUGAAAAAGCCUAAUGACCUUCAUCAGUCCCUUUGAAAUCUUCAUGCAACAGUCAGGUAAGCUAAGUAAUAUUUCCAGACAUUGUGUGUUUUUAAAUAUCCAUCUCUUUAAAAAAAAAAAAGAAAUUUACAUGGAGCUUUUAAAAAUGUAGUUGUAUGUUUAAAAAUUGUAAGAGCUC